GUUGGAGAGUGCUGCGGAGGAAGCAGCCGGAGAGGGGCGCUGGGAGCUGGCAGCGGAGCGGGACCGGAGCGGCUGCGAGCGCAGAGCCGGGGCAGGGCGAAGCUCGGAGUCUCUCAGCCCCACAGCCGCCAGUGAGGCAGGGAGCAAAGCAGGAGCCUGCAGCACCGAGAGGCGGCGGCGAGCGAGGCUCUUGAGACGCCUGGCAGCGGCUCCGGGGGCAGAGCCGGCCCGGCCCAGGCGAGCCUCGCCACGGCCCUCGGCGGCUGCCGUCCGACUCCGUCCCGCCGGCGGGAGCCGCCCCGAGCCCUGCAGGCGUCCGGCCGCGGUGCUCGGCGACGGUGGCUGCUGGUAGAGCCCAGCGGCAGCGAGACGCCAGCGGCGGCAGCCUGCAUCGCCUCUGCUUCUCCCAGCCGGCAGAGGCUGCAAUGACAUCCCCCAGCAGCCUGCUUCAGGCGAAGCUGAAGAGCUGUAGCUCAGCCUUCCUUUGUGGCAGAGCUGUUCCAGCUCCCUGUCUCCUUCUGUGGCCUUCUCUGGCCCCGCUCUUAACUGGUUGAUGCCUUCCCUGUGCUGGGGAGCUGGAUGCAGCAGGUGAGGAGGAGCCACAGCAGAGUGCAGUAGAAGGGCAGAAUCGCCUGCCCUGCUCUGCUGAGCACUUUGAAGAGCCAGGUAAUGACACAGUGCCUUGAGUCAAAGCCUCUUUCCUCCUGUGUGCUUCUGCCUGACCUCUCCCU